AGACUUUCGAUCGUAAAAAAAUGCAUCCCGUACGAUGAUUUUCAAAAGUUGGUUCGGCACAUACUAUUUCCUCGGCCAUCCGGACGUCCGGAUGCGUACUGAUCGACGAUCCAUCGUACUGAUCGAAUUUUUUUCGAGGAUUUCACGAACGUUACUCUUUAUUGAUGCAUUUUAAGACUUUCGAUCGUAAAAAACUUCAUCCCGUACGAUGAUUUUCAAAAGUUGGUUCGGCACAUACUAUUUCCUCGGCCAUCCGGAUGUCCGGAUGCGUACUGAUCGACGAUCCAUCGUACUGAUCGAUUUUUUUUCGAGGAUUUCACAAACGUUACUCUUUAUUGAUGCAUUUUAAGACUUUCGAUCGUAAAAAAAUGCAUCCUGUACGAUGAUUUUCAAAAGUUGGUUCGGCACAUACUAUUUCCUCGGCCAUCCGGACGUCCGGAUGCGUACUGAU
rnacentral:lncRNA from 1 species